UGCCAUAUUAUCGGUUCCCGUUUGGAAAUAUGUGUCCAAUGGGACAAGAGUGGCGAUGAAUUGAGUAAGAGGUGGAGACGGACAUUGUCUUUUUUUUCUGAUAGUCGCUUGCUUCUUUCUCGACGUCGCCUGUCUCUCUUUCUCUCUCGAAUCGUCCCGUUUUAAAGUGAAUAUGCAAGCGUGAAUGACCUUGAAUUUACUCAUUUUGCCGCAAGUUUCGCACUUUUCGGCGAUUCUCGCUCUCUCUCUCUCUCUCUCUCUAGUCAUUCUU
ensembl:ncRNA ZC64.9 ncRNA